CAGGCUCUCGACACUUUAUUUCAGUAACAAUCUUGAACUCACAUUAAGAUUCAAUUGACAAAAUACAAGAAAAAUGGGAAAGGUCGUGUGUGACAUCAGACCUAAACACAGACAAAGAACAAGAACCUACAAUUGCACGCCAACGAAGAAAACCAAAACGUCUCAGAUCACCAUCUCCCUC